CGAACGCUGGCGGCGUGCUUAACACAUGCAAGUCGAACGGAAAGGCCCUGCUUUUGUGGGGUGCUCGAGUGGCGAACGGGUGAGUAACACGUGAGUAACCUGCCCUUGACUUUGGGAUAACUUCAGGAAACUGGGGCUAAUACCGGAUAGGAGCUCCUGCUGCAUGGUGGGGGUUGGAAAGUUUCGGCGGUUGGGGAUGGACUCGCGGCUUAUCAGCUUGUUGGUGGGGUAGUGGCUUACCAAGGCUUUGACGGGUAGCCGGCCUGAGAGGGUGACCGGCCACAUUGGGACUGAGAUACGGCCCAGACUCCUACGGGAGGCAGCAGUGGGGAGUAUUGCACAAUGGGCGGAAGCCUGAUGCAGCAACGCCGCGUGCGGGAUGACGGCCUUCGGGUUGUAAACCGCUUUCGCCUGUGACGAAGCGUGAGUGACGGUAAUGGGUAAAGAAGCACCGGCUAACUACGUGCCAGCAGCCGCGGUGAUACGUAGGGUGCGAGCGUUGUCCGGAUUUAUUGGGCGUAAAGGGCUCGUAGGUGGUUGAUCGCGUCGGAAGUGUAAUCUUGGGGCUUAACCCUGAGCGUGCUUUCGAUACGGGUUGACUUGAGGAAGGUAGGGGAGAAUGGAAUUCCUGGUGGAGCGGUGGAAUGCGCAGAUAUCAGGAGGAACACCAGUGGCGAAGGCGGUUCUCUGGGCCUUUCCUGACGCUGAGGAGCGAAAGCGUGGGGAGCGAACAGGCUUAGAUACCCUGGUAGUCCACGCUGUAAACGGUGGGUACUAGGUGUGGGGUCCAUUCCACGGGUUCCGUGCCGUAGCUAACGCUUUAAGUACCCCGCCUGGGGAGUACGGCCGCAAGGCUAAAACUCAAAGGAAUUGACGGGGCCCCGCACAAGCGGCGGAGCAUGCGGAUUAAUUCGAUGCAACGCGUAGAACCUUACCUGGGUUUGACAUGGAUCGGGAGUGCUCAGAGAUGGGUGUGCCUCUUUUGGGGUCGGUUCACAGGUGGUGCAUGGCUGUCGUCAGCUCGUGUCGUGAGAUGUUGGGUUAAGUCCCGCAACGAGCGCAACCCUUGUUCACUGUUGCCAGCACGUUAUGGUGGGGACUCAGUGGAGACCGCCGGGGUCAACUCGGAGGAAGGUGGGGAUGACGUCAAGUCAUCAUGCCCCUUAUGUCCAGGGCCUCACGCAUGCUACAAUGGCUGGUACAGAGAGUGGCGAGCCUGUGAGGGUGAGCGAAUCUCGGAAAGCCGGUCUCAGUUCGGAUUGGGGUCUGCAACUCGACCUCAUGAAGUCGGAGUCGCUAGUAAUCGCAGAUCAGCAACGCUGCGGUGAAUACGUUCCCGGGGCUUGUACACACCGCCCGUCAAGUCAUGAAAGUUGGUAACACCCGAAGCCGGUGGCCUAACCGUUGUGGGGGAGCCGUCGAAGGUGGGACUGGUGAUUAGGACUA
rnacentral:rRNA from 1 species